GGAAUAUUGGACAAUGGGCGCAAGCCUGAUCCAGCCAUGCCGCGUGCAGGAUGACGGUCCUAUGGAUUGUAAACUGCUUUUAUACGAGAAGAAACACUCCGACGUGUCGGAGCUUGACGGUAUCGUAAGAAUAAGGAUCGGCUAACUCCGUGCCAGCAGCCGCGGUAAUACGGAGGAUCCAAGCGUUAUCCGGAAUCAUUGGGUUUAAAGGGUCCGUAGGCGGUUUAAUAAGUCAGUGGUGAAAGCCCAUCGCUCAACGGUGGAACGGCCAUUGAUACUGUUAGACUUGAAUUAUUAGGAAGUAACUAGAAUAUGUAGUGUAGCGGUGAAAUGCUUAGAGAUUACAUGGAAUACCAAUUGCGAAGGCAGGUUACUACUAAUUGAUUGACGCUGAUGGACGAAAGCGUGGGUAGCGAACAGGAUUAGAUACCCGAG
rnacentral:rRNA from 1 species